GACGAACGCUGGCGGCGUGCUUAACACAUGCAAGUCGAACGAAGUGGCGAACGGGUGAGUAACGGGUAAUCAACCUGCCCUUCAGAGGGGGACAACAGUUGGAAACGAAUGCUAAUACCGCAAACUGACGGCGGGGAUUGCGUCUGAUUAGCUAGUUGGAGGGGUAAGGGCCCACCAAGGCGAUGAUCAGUAGCCGGUCUGAGAGGUUGAACGGCCACAUUGGGACUGAGACACGGCCCAGACUCCUACGGGAGGCAGCAGUGGGGAAUCUUCCGCAAUGGACGAAAGUCUGACGGAGCAACGCCGCGUGAGUGAUGACGGCCUUCGGGUUGUAAAGCUCUGUUAAUCGGGACGCGGUACCGGAAUAGAAAGCCACGGCUAACUACGUGCCAGCAGCCGCGGUAAUUC
rnacentral:rRNA from 1 species